rnacentral:rRNA from 1 species
AAUAUUGCACAAUGGAGGAAACUCUGAUGCAGCGACGCCGCGUGCAGGAAGAAGGUUUUCGGAUUGUAAACUGCUUUAGAUAGGGAAGAAAAAAGACAGUACCGUACGAAUAAGCUCCGGCUAACCACGAGCCAGCAGCCGCGGUAAUACGUAGGGAGCAAGCGUUAUCCGGAUUUAUUGGGUGUAAAGGGUGCGUAGACGGGCUAACAAGUUAGUUGUGAAAUCCCUCGGCUUAACUGAGGAACUGCAACUAAAACUAUUAGUCUUGAGUGCGGGAGAGGAAAGUGGAAUUCCUAGUGUAGCGGUGAAAUGCGUAGAUAUUAGGAGGAACACCAGUGGCGAAGGCGACUUUCUGGACCGUAACUGACGUUGAGGCACGAAAGUGUGGGGAGCAAA